ensembl:lncRNA
AGCUCUGCAGGGCGGGUUGUAGGGGGGUGUACCCUCCAGGGCUGAACUGUUCUAGAAGCCACCUCUAACCUUCUCAAAGGAGCCUACGGGAGCCGGAAAGAUGGACAUGAAAAAGCACCGCCUGGGUAAAGCGUGUGCGCUGCAGGUGGGACGGCGAGGGCUGCUGGGCCCGCCGCGUUUCUCUCCUGUACGUCGGAGCCUUUUUGCACCUAGAACACUAGAAGCACUUCAGCACUACACUUGGGGCUCGUGUAAAACCAGCAGCUAAAAGCAUACAACUGUGAGAAAUGUGGCACGAAAUAAACCAUGAAAAGGACACUUGUUUACAGCAGGAGAGCUGAAGCAAGAAGGUAGAAUGUUGCCUUGUUCCACUUCAGCUGGAAAAGAGGGCACGGGGCAACCCAAAAUUUUCCCUGCUUUUCAAAUGUCAAUGAAUGAGACCGCAAGUGUGCUACAAGGAUUGAUUUUGGGGUUACAGAUAAAUUUUGGCAAAUAGAAUUGCAAUUAUGAAAUCCUAGAAUAAUGAAGAUCAAAUACAUAUAUAAUAACAAAAGAUAUACUGUAUAAAUGCAUUGUACAUAUAUUUAUAUUUCAUAUGUAAAUAUAUAAAACAUGUCAUAACACAGUUGUUACUGUCUUAUACAUGGUGUCACACGACUUGGCAGUGUAUUUUAUGCAUAUCAAUAAUCAUAAUUACAAAUAUAUUCCUAAUUGUGUUUCCCUAUGUUAAAUGUCUCUUGGGUUGUAAAGAUUCUAUGAGAAGUCAGUUUGGGAAGUGCUGGUAUCAAGAAAUCCUCUAUGUCUGUGGUGUUUGAGAAAACCAUGCCUUUCAUUCUAAUAGUUCUGCUUUGACAGGAACAGGGUCCUAUAUGCCAAAAUAGAGGCUAGUCAGCCUCCCUUUUACAGCUGCCCACUUUGCCCGUUUUUUGUUACUUUGCUUUUCCAAGCUCUCAUCGCCCAUUAUACUGUAUCUCAUUGGAUGAGGUAUCAUUCGAUCUUUUUUGACAAACAUUGAUAAGCAUGAUUAAGCAAAAUUAGAGAUGUCUAUGUUUCUCAUAUAUUGCAUCGAUUUUACACACAGCUUUCACCCGAAAAGGGACAGCCUAAACCUUUGGGAAACACCUUGGUUCAGUCAGUGCCUCUGUGUCCGCUCAUGAAAUAUCGUAUUCCUGUAGGCCUUGUUCUGGGCUUCCUCAUGCCCAGUUUCUCUAGGCCUCUAACAGGAGCUUAAUUUGACAAGAAGCCAUGGUCUGCCUCUCAAUUAGAAUAAUUUCAAAGUCUCUCAUCAGAUGGCUCUUUUGGAAAUGUCAACAAUUUCUAAACUGUCAGUGCUUCAAUAUAAACAAUGCUACAUACUCUGUUAAUCAUGGAAGUAAUUUCUGGUUUCAGUAAAACAGAACCCAGGGGAGUUUGCCGUGGUGACAUAUUUUUUGCUUGAGAUUGUAAAGACCCCACUGCAGCUGGUGUCUGUCCACAGCCUGGCAUUGAAUUGUCUAAUUUCCUGAGACCGAAGCAUUACAGAUUACAUCUGGUGAGGAAACUGGGCUUUGAGAGCUGAAAUCACUGGCCAUGUUCACAUAACAGUCAAGUGGAGGCUGAGUCAUGAGUGUGUAUCUGAGUGAUCAAAGCGGAGUCAUUCUCCAUUGUGCUAAAUCAUCUUUCUCCAGGAAGCACUGAAGAUUGGUCCCAACUUCCUUAGCAACUAAAGGAAGGAGAGAAAGACAUCAGUUAAAAGAACUGUAAUGUCCAAAGAACUUCUCAGAAACCCAGGCUUUCAGAGUCAAUUUGGCAGCAACAGGGCCCAGUGAUUGAAAGCAAGGGCUCCAUGGAUCAGACGGCCCAGUCUGACUAUUGC